UUUGUUUGAAACAGACCGCAAUGGAGAGAUCAGCGCCCAGGGAAGCGAGGGAACAGCAGGCUCCUUCCAGCAGCACAUCGGGAUGGGAGCCUGGGACACAGAGGGGGCUCCGAGACCGGGAUUGAUUCGGGCUGAAAAAUCUUCCGUCUUCCUCCAAGCAAAUAUUUGAAUGAUGAAGACAAUGUCAUAUUUCCUCAGGACAAAGCCAAGUGUGACCAGCUGCUUCAAACAAACAGCAGGCAAGUACUCAAAGGACCAAGACAAUGUAAUAUUCCCUUGGUACAGAGCCCAGUGUGACCAGCUGCUUCGAACAAACAACAGAGAGGUUUUAUGGCAGAAGUGUCAAGAAGUCUGCACUAAACAGUUUGAGGCUCCUUUUAAAGUUGGAACAACAGAAGCAGCCUGAAUGGGUGUGGUCAAGCUCUCACAGAAUGACAUUUUUAGUUUUGGCUUUCAGCAAAACUGUCGGCGUCUUGAAGACAGAAAAGCUAGUUUUUCUUCUCCAUUACAGUCAGUAGCUGCAGAUUCUGUUUCUGCUACUGGAGUCGGAUGUGAGACUAUAUAUUUUAUUGAAUUUGUCUUUUGCCAAGGAUGUUUAUGGGAUAUUACUGUAUUGGAACAGUUAAUUAGGAAGUGAUACUGUAUCCAUUAUUCUGUUAAGUAUUCCAGUAGAGUUGUUAUUCAUGUCUCUUC